GUGCUUGCUUCAGCAGCACAGAUACUAAAAUUGGAAUGAUACAAAUAUUAGCACGGCCCCUGUGCAACAAAGACACUCACGUUCAGGAAUCAUUUGAUAUUUUG
ensembl:snRNA U6 U6 spliceosomal RNA